UGUUUGCUAUUUCACAUUCCUGUCACUGAAGCGUUGUGGGCAAAGACACAGAAGGCAACUGAAACAAUGUGGUUUAAGUCAAGGUGAUUAUUAGGGGUCCAAGCACAUUGGUUUGUGUAGAUGAUGCAGUUACACAAUGAACGUGUCUCUUUUCAAGUAAAUUAUGAGUCCUUAUGUGAGUACUAUUAUAUGCACAACAUGAAAAUAGAUAACUAAUAUAGUGUCCCUUCUACACUUUUUCAGUAAUGUGUGAUAACUUGAGAAAUAUGUUGUCAAUACAAUUAAAAUAACAAAGUAAUGGUAUUUAGGAGAUGAUAGCUUUUGCAUAAUUACUAUAUUGGGCUUUAUUAAAGUUUAUGAAAAAAGAAUGAAUGUUUAUGCAUUUUUUGUUUAUGCACAUAAGUGAAACAUUUUCAAGUCUUUGAACAGAUCUUGAAGUAUUUGCUAUCCUGUGGCGCCAUCGAGUGGACAACAUUAGCAUUGUGGCCUUCAUUUUUGAACAACAUUAUGAAAGGGGCCAAUAUUUUUUGAAUGAUUAUAAAUAUUUAAUGAUUAGUUUACUGAUAAUAUACCCACAUUAAAAUCUAAUUUACUGAUUCUGUAUCUUAUUUCAUGCUUAAUCAUGAGUUUAAUUUUCAGUUUACAUUUUUAAGCAGUGUUGAAUGAUUACUAUGUGAGUUGCUAAAUUUUUUUUUGUUUUUUUAUUUUUUUUUUUUUUUUUUUUUUUUUUUUUUAGGAUUUACAUUUAAAAAAAUGAGCCUACUUCAAACAUUUUAAGCAGCUUGAACAAAACCUGUUAAUAUU
ensembl:lncRNA